rnacentral:lncRNA from 10 species
CCAAAUCUUGAUGUUAACAAUUAAAAAGAAGAAAUGACAUGCAAGUAGGUCUUAGCAGAAAAAUGCAGGCUGGGCAUGAGUCAUGUUGUUACCCUCCCACAUGCUCCUACAAUCCACAGAGAUGCCUGUCUGCAGGUUCUUGAAGUUAUUGUUAGUAUUUGGUAUCUCAAAUUUUUCGUCACUGUUCACAUGCCACUUUCUCUGUGCACAGUGGUAUCCUCAUUUGCUUUUUAACCUACACUGAGGAGUCUUUGUCAGGUUGCACUGAUUUUCCAAUUCUGCAGUAAUGAGUAAGCUCACGGCAUGGGGAAGAAGACAGUCAGUCCAAUGAAGUUCUCUAAAUUAUUUUAACAUUGCCUUUGAAGGCCUUGACUCAUCCUUAGCUAUUUCAAUGAAGAAAUUCCUACCAUGAAUUUAAAACCCUAAAAAUUCUGUUUCAAAUUCUUUGGGCAUUGGGGUACUCAGAUAUCCCAUUGUGGAAGAAUUUUAAGAAUAAAUAGAAGUUUCUGUUGAGAACCAUGAGCAACAUGUUUCUUACAAUGAGAAUUGCUAUGCAUUUUAAAAUUGCAAAUAUAUAUGAAAAUUGAAGACAAGAGGAAAUUGUAUUUCUAACUUGAUUCUGAUCACUCACAGAGGUGGCAUAUUAUUAUAGUUGGGACAUCCUUUGCACCCUUCAUAAAAAAGGCCAGCUGACUGCUCAGCAUCACCUGCCAAGGCCACUAGAUUUGUGUUUACAGGGGUAUCUCUGUGAUGCUUGUCACAUCACUCUUGACCACCUCUGUUAAUAAAUUCCGACAGUGCAGUGGCGAUCGGAGUGUGAACUUAUGUUCCCAGCAUAUGGAAAGCUAUCUUAGGUUUUAAGGUAGUAGAAAUUGCCCAGGAGUUUGACAGCAACUUUGUUUCCCGGGUCUAAAAUCGUAUCCCACUGAGGUGUAUGCAGUGGAGCAUAAUACAUGCAAAUACAUGCAAAACUCCUUUUGUUUCACCUAAGAUUCACUUUCUAUCUUACUUUCCCUUCCUGCCUAGUGUGACUUUUGCCCCCAAGAGUGCCUGGACAGCAUUCUAGUUUCUACAAAAUGGUCCUCUGUGUAGGUGAAUGUGUCCCAAACCUGCUAUCACUUUCUUGUUUCAGUGUGACUGUCUUGUUAGAGGUGAAGUUUAUCCAGGGUAACUUGCUCACUAACUAUUCCUUUUUAUGGCCUGGGGUUAAAGGGCGCAUGGCUCACACUGGUGAAAAUAAGGAAGGCCUGGUCUUAUCUUGUAUUAAUAAUACUGGCUGCAUUCCACCAGCCAGAGAUUUCUAUCUGCGAAGACCUAUGAAACACUGAAGAGAAAUGUAGGCAGAAGGAAAUGGCCACAUAUCACAAGUUCUAUUAUAUAUUCUUUUGUAAAUACAUAUUGUAUAUUACUUGGAUGUUUUCUUAUAUCAUUUACUGUCUUUUUGAGUUAAUGUCAGUUUUUACUCUCUCAACUUACUAUGUAACAUUGUAAAUAACAUAAUGUCCUUUAUUAUUUAUAUUUAAGCAUCUAACAUAUAGAGUUGUUUUCAUAUAAGUUUAAGAUAAAUGUCAAAAAUAUAUGUUCUUUUGUUUUUCUUUGCUUUAAAAUUAUGUAUCUUUUCCUUUUCUUUUUUUUAAGAAUAAUUUAUUGUUCAGGAGAAAGAAUGUAUAUGUAACUGAAACUAUCUGAAGAAUGCACAUUGAAGGCCGUGAGGUACUGAUAAACUAAAGAAUUUAUUAUUCAAAAUACUAAGCAAUAAGUAAUUGUGAUUUAUUUAAAGUUUUGUCCAUUUUCCAUGAAAGACAUACUGCAAUAAAAAUGCUACUCUGUGGAGA